AACGAACGCUGGCGGCAUGCCUAACACAUGCAAGUCGAACGAGACCUUCGGGUCUAGUGGCGCACGGGUGCGUAACGCGUGGGAACCUGCCUUUAGGUUCGGAAUAACUCAGAGAAAUUUGAGCUAAUACCGGAUAAUGUCUUCGGACCAAAGAUUUAUCGCCUUUAGAUGGGCCCGCGUAAGAUUAGCUAGUUGGUGGGUAAAGGCCUACCAAGGCGACGAUCUUUAGCUGGUCUGAGAGGAUGAUCAGCCACACUGGGACUGAGACACGGCCCAGACUCCUACGGGAGGCAGCAGUGGGGAAUAUUGGACAAUGGGCGAAAGCCUGAUCCAGCAAUGCCGCGUGAGUGAUGAAGGCCUUAGGGGUUGUAAAAGCUCUUUUACCCGAGAUGAUAAUGACAGUAUCGGGAGAAUAAGCUCCGGCUAACUCCGUGCCAGCAGCCGCGGUAAU
rnacentral:rRNA from 1 species